CUCUCCGUACGGGGAGGAAGGAUGAGAAGCUUCGACUAAGGUUCGAUUCGAGCGAAAGCGAGAAAGCGUUGCCAAC
rnacentral:sRNA from 1 species